rnacentral:lncRNA from 1 species
UUGCAGAAGACUCAGAAAAUGAGACUAUAAGUGGAGGUCAGGAGCCUGGGAUGUGAUCGUCAUUUGAUGCUACAGGCACUGUAUCACUGGGUGCAUUCAACUAGAGUUGUUGGCUCCCUUUCAGCAGAGAAGACAAAAAGCCACUGA